rnacentral:rRNA from 1 species
UACGAAGGGUGCAAGCGUUACUCGGAAUUACUGGGCGUAAAGCGUGCGUAGGUGGUUCGUUAAGUCUGAUGUGAAAGCCCUGGGCUCAACCUGGGAAUGGCAUUGGAAACUGGCGACCUAGAGUGCGGUAGAGGGUAGUGGAAUUCCCGGUGUAGCAGUGAAAUGCGUAGAGAUCGGGAGGAACAUCCGUGGCGAAGGCGGCAUCCUGGACCGGCAUUGACGCUGAGGCGCGAAAGCUAGGGUAGCAAACGGG